CGCAGGGAGGCCCGGGCCAAUGCCGAGCCCCUGGAACACUGUCAACAAACAAGCCGCCGGCCAGACAGCAGCCGGAGGCCUCACCUGGAAGUCGUACAGCGCCACGAUGUUCUCGUGCUUCAGCUCCUAGGACGGAACCCCAACAUCUCACCAGCCAGGUCAUGUUUCUGAAAACCAAGAGUGGCUUUUCAAGGCUGGGAUCAUGCAGAGACCCCUGUCCCGGCUCAGAAGUGGCCAGGCCAUGUGUCACCAGGCUGCGUCUGAUAGGUCCCUGAAGCCGAAACAGGAAACCAAACCUGGAAUGGUGGAAAAAGAACUUUCAGCAAGGUUGGUGAUGCCCCGUCUCAGGUCUGGUGGAGGGCCACCUUCCUGUCAGGGCGUGGCCGCUAGCCCGCGGGCCUGGAGCUGAAGAUCCUUGCUGGCUGUGGAGAGAGGCCCAGCCCAGCCCAGCAGGUGGGGCCCAGUUUUGUUUUGGGA